UUUUUUCGGCUAAAAACGGCUUACUAUACAUGGUCAAUUUUUUCGGCUAAAAACGCCUUACUAUACAUGGUCGUUUUUUUUUCGGCUAAAAACGCCUUACUAUACAUGGUCGGUUUUUUUCAGCUAAAAACGCCUUACUAUACAUGGUCGUUUUUUUCCGGCUAAAAACGGCUUACUAUAGGUUUUUUUUUUCGGCUAAAAACUGCUUACUAUACAUGGUCAAUUUUUUCGGCUAAAAACGCCUUACUAUACAUGGUCGUUUUUUUUCCGGCUAAAAACGCCUUACUAUACAUGGUCGGUUUUUUUCAGCUAAAAACGCCUUACUAUACAUGGUCGUUUUUUUCCGGCUAAAAACGGCUUACUAUAGGUUGUUUUUUUCGGCUAAAAACGCCUUACUAUACAUGGUCAAUUUUUUCGGCUAAAAACGCCUUACUAUACAUGGUCGGUUUUUUUUCGGCUAAAAACGGCUUACUAUACAUGGUCAAUUUUUUUCGGCUAAAAACACCUUCCUAUACAUGGUCGUUUUUUUCGCCUAAAAACGCCUUAGUAUACAUGGUCGUUUUUUUUCGGCUAAAAACGCCUUACUAUACAUGGUCGUUUUUUUUCGGCUAAAAACGCCUUACUAUACAUGGUCGUUUUUUUUCGGCUAAAAACGCCUUACUAUACAUGGUCGUUUUUUUCAGCUAAAAACGCCUUACUAUACAUGGUCAAUUUUGCCCCGAGCCAGAAUUGAACCCUGCUCCUCUGCACUAGGAAGCCAGCGCACUAACCAGUCGACCACGAGGCAACCUACCAUAAUGUAAAACAGAAAUCCAUUCAGCAAGAAAUAAAGUAGCAACCUUUGAUUCCGCAGGCCACAUGAAAUGAUGAGUUUGACACUUUUAUUGUGGAGGAUUUCUUGUUUUACCAAAAGCAGGCAUAAAUGACACUUUGCAACCAUAGGGGGGCGCCAUGGUUCCCCAACCCCACAGUCCCAAGUAUUCGUUGUGGCGCUAAAAGGAUCCAUCGGAAAAAAAUAACGGUAACAUACCAACCUGGAAAUGUGGACAUCUUAAACUCUUCUUCAGUUUGCAUCCAUGCCAAGAAAACCGCCGUAGACUCAAGGUCGGCGGAAAAGGUUGUGGGGUUGUCCGCCCGCCUGGCCGCGAGAGCAUCGGAGACGACAUAUAUCUUGUCAAGCCAGCUCGGCCUACACGGCGGCCGGGCGUGGUUGGCUUGGAUAAAUGCUGGCAUUCAAGAUUCCCCCCCCCCCCCCCCUCAGUUUUUUAGUGUCGUCAGCGUUCUGUGUCAGUAAAGACAAAUGGAUGAAUGCGCUUUUUUUUGGUGGGGGGGGGGGAUCUUCUUAUCCUGCGGUCGAGCCUUGAGAACUUGAGAUAAAAUGCGCUCGGCGCGGGCUGAAUGCCAUCACUGAAGAAUUUUCUGCUUGUAUUCUUUCACGUGAAGACUUGUGGACUUUCUUGCAUGAUGUUUGGUUCCCUGCUGCUUUGUACAUUUUUUUAUACAUUGAAAAAAAAAAUCAUGUAAAUUGAAGUAUGUUUAUUUCUCAGUGGCUCAUUCAGUUGAAGUGAUGUGAUUAUUGAGUGGGUUGUUGGUGCCGAUUUUUUUGCAGAAUAAAGUCAAAACCUCAGAAA